AUUUGAAACUCACAGCCCCGCUGCCGCUCGGCUCCCCGGGCAAAGCCUGACAUCUACAGUCGUGCCGGGCGCAGGCCGGGUUGCUCGGCGGCGACCGCGCCCGCCCGCCCGCAGGGACCCGGGGACGCACAGGGACGCGCGGGACCCGGGCGCUCAGCUGCGCUCGCUCCGCUUGGGGCGCGGGCCUUGGGGCAGGCCGGGGGUCCCGCGCACCCGCCUGGGGCCAGGAACCCUCGCCGCUCGGCCUGCGCCGCCCCGGGAACCGGCCCCGGCGGGAACAAAGCCCAGGCCCUCCCGGAGGCGCUGACCCCUCGCUCAUCAAAGGUCAGGGGCCGGCCUAGAAUCGGGCGAGAAGAAAGGGACGCGCCCUCGGCCACUAAAAGGAGCCUGAGGCCUCCGAACCGGAGCCAUCGCUCCCUGGGCCCCGUCCACGUCACAGCCAGGCCACUCAAGCAUGGGGACAGGAGCCAAUGUGGACAGGAAUUUAUUGGAAACACACACCCAUCCUAUUAACUGCUUUACAGAGCACUUCUGUUUUUCAGUUGCAGAAACUUAUAAAAACAUCCCCCUGCUCUCCGUUGAGAGUUUAAGGAUAGUUUUUGAGGCCAGAGAAAGAGAAAAGGAGAGAUCACUAGAAAGAUAGGAAGAAAAGAAGUGGGAAGAAAAGGAGAUGCAGUCUACCAUGUAAGCCUCCAGGCUCCUUAGCCUCACCUUAUAAAGCCACAUCACCGCAGAGAUAGCAAAGAUCGUGCCCUUUCCCAGGGAGUUCCUACCGCCAGGGUAAGAUUUAAAGCGGCCACCCCAGUUGGUCAAAGUGAUUGCUGGGCGCCUUUCUAUCUCCCCAAGUUCACCUUUUCCAGUUGGUCAAAGCGAUUGCUGGGCGCCUUCUAUCUCCCCAAGUCCACCUUUUUCCAUUCUCAUCUGAAAGCCAGCCCCAAAGAAAUCUCACCGGAAGUCCUCUGUCCUCCCUGUCAGAAUCCCACCCUCAGUCUGAAUUUACUCCCGAUUCUCACAGCACAGAAAGGCACCUGCUUUUACCCUUUCUGAAAACCACCCACCCAGGCUGGCCUUACAGCCUGGAGAGUCUUUUCCUCGGGCACAAUAAUGAACCAUGCAAGUGUUAGAAAUAUAAUCAGCUCAUGAGGCGAAGAGCAGUAUGUAUGGAAUUGUAUUAGCAUGAGGCACACACUGACUCGGGAGAAAAAGGGAUGCUUAGCUGGUGAAAACCAUCACAUCCCCGUAUAGAAGGCUUUUUGCACAAUGUAAGUUGGGUUCAGAUUAAUGUAAGUAUCUAACCUGUUGGGUACAGACAGCCCCUUUCUACAUUUUAGUCCAGAAUAGAUUCUGGGGAAAUUUAUUUAUUUAUUUAUUUAUUUCAGCUAAGGCCCUGGGAGAAAAGACUGCCUCCAGGGAAUCAUGUCCGAUUAGGGACAAAGGAGGGCACAAGCCCAAUUCAGUCACACGUGAGAGCACGGGGGCCGGGUGGGGGGAGUUAAGAGCCAACAGGGAAGGUGGAGGAUGAGUUUGCAAACCAGACUAUGGUCACUGCAGAGCUGCUUCCAGACCACCUGACUUCAGGCCCAAGAACAGGUGGUGUUUUCAAAACACACUGUUAUUUAUAUUGGCCAUAUAAGUUGAGAACACCUUAAAGAAAACAAUUAAUAAUUUAAUUGAAAAAGUGACUAUGAAUAAGACAUGAAGAUGACGUAUGCUAGCAGGACCGCAAGCAACGUGGCCCACAACGCAGAGAUGCCUCUGGCAAUCUCUCCGGAAAAACGAAGAUUCCUUACCUGGGAUAGGGGACAACCUCGUAAUCUGGUGACAUCAUGAUCCUGGUAGGCCCACAGACAAAUACCUUCAAUAAAAUAAAAGCUAGAAAGCCCAAAGAACAAGCUAUUAAAGUAACCUGGGAGGAUGCAGCACUGCCUGGGCAGAAGGCCCGGACGGGAUCUGCCCUAAUACUGCCACUGUCCCAAGAGGCAGACCCUGCAACCUGCCUCCUGCACUUGAGAGGCCUGACAAGUAGAACUGAGAGUGACCCUGAGUUCCUUUUCUUUAUCUGGCACCAGCUACACACAUGAUGAGGCCUAGUCAAGCCUGCCUUUGUUCCAGGCAAAAAUUUAACAGCUCUGGAAGCCCUGGCUCUUCGGAGGGCAGCUGCCUGAUGUUAAACCCAUGGCCUACCCAGCAGUGACAGCCUGACAUUCUCAUCGCUCCAUCCUGAACACUGCUGACAAAUAAACCCACUCUCAGAAAAGGCAAUUCUUCCCUCGCAGUUCUCCAUACCCAGUCUCGUCUCAUCUGGAAAGCGUAAUUGGCAACAGCCGAAAGGAUAAAUAUUUAAAAAUAAAUCAGGGAGCGCUAACCCCUUCCCUACUCCUCCCCUUACCCACUCUCCAAGCCAGAGGCCUGCCCCCUAACGCUGAGCUGGCUGGUAAAUUACAAUGAUUCUACCGAGCCAAACCUGCUUGUCUCUCUCUUUCUCUACACAUACACACUUACUAAUGCUGUAUCCUUCCACUUUUGCAAAGGUAAAUAUGAUCUCUAAGAUACAGUGGAUGUCAGCAUUCUGACUUCCAGCGUAACCUGGGCUCUCUUUUCACAGUACAGCGGGUUUAGACAGAUUUGUGCACCCUUCCGGGUUCUUCUAUUUUUAUUAAAUUAUACGUAUACAUUGAUUUUUAAAACUAGUGCUUAAAUAACCCGGAGGCUUUAACAAAGAAAAAUCCAGAAGAGGGCAAGAAACAAAAACAAACGUUCCUGAAAUAAACAAGGAACCAUU
rnacentral:lncRNA from 1 species